rnacentral:lncRNA from 1 species
AUUCUUUCCUGCGGUGUUUCCCCUACUCGCAAUCGCAAGUGCUUCUGAGGCGUGUCUGUCGACCGGGAAAGAAUCCUUUGAGUUGUUCUGUGUUGUACCGGCGUCGCUGGCAACCAUUCCGCUCUUUUCCUCCAAGAGCGUUCGACCUCUCUGAAACUUCCGAAACUGCUCGUCGUCUGGUAUUUCCUCGUUCUCAGUCCCGUAUGGUUUGUUUCCAUGCGGAAACUUUUCACCGUAACGGUGCCGGAUUAUUUUGUGCGUCGCGGUCAGGCAAAACGCGUCUGAAGCACCGAAUCGGCUUGUCCCCGACGGUCUUGCGACUUGCAGCUCCUCUUCACGCUUUCCUACGCCCUCGUCGCCGGUGUCUUGGCGGCUUUUUUCAUCGAGGGGUUCGGUCAAAUCUCCAGCUCCGCACGCAAAUGCAAAAGAGGCAGAACCUUUACUCUUCCCCUCCGCUUCUGUUCCCGCGUCUUCGUCAUUGUGACGAGCCCCUGUACCGCGCUCCUCGAGCCGGUGGAGGACCUUUCGCUGUUCGUGGAACUUCUGGAAGUUUCCGACAGACAAACAAUCGAACUCUUCCGGUAUGUUUUCGCGCGUCACUGCUGCUCGGUGUCUCGGAACCGGGCCGCCACCUCUUCUGCGGGCCUCCAUGGACAAGGACAUCUGGAAAAUUCGAUUGAGGACCCUUUACUCUUUCGCGUUCACGACCGAUGACGCUGCCUUCCUUCCUCAUGAGUGGAAAGAGGCAGCGACAGGGGAGCAUGAGAGCCCACACCAAAGCCGACUAGAUAUUGAGAGCAAGCGAAAACGCAUGCCAUACGAAACUUCCGACCAACAGAAUCACACGUGCGAAGACUGUCGAGGUAUCAAGAGCUGCUCAAAUGUGUGGUGCCUUUAAGAUGACGUUCCCUCCGGGGUCAAACAAGGAAAAGCUAGACCGGACAAGAAAAUGAGAAAACUUCCAUCUGGUCUUCUCACGCCGUUGGGAAACACAGUGACACAGGAAAUGUUUCACGGGCCUGGCGACUCGACUUUCAUUCGCACGAGAAAAAAGCCAGCUCUCUCAUCCUGUUUCUACAGAGUCACCUGAGACUUCGAGAAAUUCCUGGCUGAACCAGCUCUGAGCCGUAUCUUCAGACAUCAGCUUUCUCUGCACCGUGGCAUUUGGCUGGAGAGAGCGAAACGAGUAGAGCACGCCUCUGGGGCAGCGUUCUUUCUAUGUUUUCAGGGGAACGGGGACCCCCCCCGUAUCUCGCACCAGCAGAUAAAGAAGCCAAAACAAGAAAGCCUGCUUUUUCUGUUGUGACAACUGCCUACCUCGCCCAACCAGAAAACCUGCGGAAUACACUUCAGCAACAAACUAGGAAAAGGAAAUACGAGUGUGUCUGCUUUUACACACGGUUCUGUUUACCUGUACAUGCAACGAAGAGCCGCGUUCUGCGAGGUCGUCCGUGGGAACAGCUGAAGACUUUCUAAUACAGAAGACUAUGGAGC